UAGAUCCGUACACAGUAGGUGGUGCCCUCGUGGACCUCCCUUCCUUACUAGUAUCGCUGGCUCGGCUCAGCUCUCUGCCCCUUCCCCACUCCCAUUUCCUUAUUUGACGAGUUUGGCGGCCACGGCCCCUAGACUCGGGCUUUCGCCUCUGUCCUGGCUGCCGGUGGGUCUAGGGUAGGGGGCUUCCGACUUUUCGCCCCUUCUGCAGCCUGGCUCCCGUGGGAUCCGGUCCCUUUUCAAGGAAAGUUGUGAUCCACGUGAGUCAACUGGCUGGUCUUCUUUGUGCAUUUUCCUCAGGUUCGCGGACUGGAAUAUAACAGGCACCAGAGGAUUCCUUCUCGGUCCCCUCGUCCUGGAACUUGCGACCAAGGUUGGAUGUCCCCAUAUCCUUGUUUAAUGGAGAGAACUCAACUAAGCUUCGUUGCUGCUAGCCCCAAAAGCAUUUGAUUUCUCUGUGAGAAGCUGAAAAUCAUCUUUUAGAAAGUUGAGCUUCGAUCUCCGCCCCCUACCCUCAAAUCCCUUAAUUAUGCUGUAGAAGUUGGGGCUUUUUGAACAUCUCUCUCACAAUCUGGUGCUGAUUUAACUGCAUAAUGGCUUUCUAUUUCACUGGUAUUCGAAGCUUUCCUAAACUUUGGAAGAGCAACCCAUACCUUGGGCUAGGCCCAGGUCACUCUUUUCUCUCUCUCUUUCUCAAAGACUGUUAUGGCAUCAAGAACCAAGAGAAGUGGUUUUCUCUUAAAACGGUGUCUUCACAAAAUACCAAAGCAAUGAAUCUGCUGGUUGCCAAAGCCAGAUAUGUCAGGAAAAAAGAUGAGGGCAGUAGUAAGCAAGUUUCUGCUGAUUCUCCUCACAUGUUUGCAGCUGGAGCGGCUAAGAAGAGAUCACAGAUGAAUCCUCCGAGUAAAGAGCACGUCUUGCCACCUGUGAAGAACAUUUUUCAACUCCCGACAAAACCUUUGAAUUCAGAGGAGUGGGAUAAACUGAAGGAAUAUUUCAAAGAAAAGGCUAACUUUGAAAAUUGGAUCAUUUCACAGAUGAUUAAAUGCCGUAGCUCUGUCGAUGUGGCCAAAUCUGUGCUGGCCUGGGUAGCUGCAAAAAACAAUGGUAUUGUAGGCUAUGAUUUGCUGGUCAAGUAUUUGUAUCUCUGCGUUUUUCAUAAGCAGACAUCAGAAAUUAUUGAUGUCUAUGAAAUCAUGAAAGACAGAUACAAGCGUUUAGAAUCUGGAGCGUACACUCUUCUCAUCCGGGGAUUAAUCCAUACAGACAGAUGGAGAGAGGCUUUGCUGCUGUUAGAAGACAUCAAAAAAGUCAUGAUUCCUUCAAAAAAGAACUAUGAUGACUGUAUCCAGGGAGCCCUCUUUCAUCAAGAUGUAAAUGUAGCUUGGAAUUUGUAUCAGGAGUUGUUAGGUCAUGAUAUUGUUCCUAUGUUGGAAACAUUAAAAGCCUUCUUUGAUUUUGGAAAAGACAUGAAAGGUGAUCAGUAUUCAAACAAACUGCAAGACAUUCUUUUGUAUCUAAGAAAUAAUCAGCUGUAUCCUGGGGAGUCAUUUGCACACAGUAUAAAAACAUGGUUUGAAAGUGUUCCUGGAGAACAUUGGAAAGGACAGUUCACCACAGUCCAGCAAAGUGGUCAGUGUUUGGGCUGUGGAAAAACUAUAGAGUCUAUUCACCUGAGUUCAGAAGAGUAUGAAUUUCUCAAGGAAAAAAUAAUGAGGGAUGUGAUAGAUGGAGGUGACCAGUACAGAAAGACGACACCUCAGGAACUUAAGAGAUUUCAGGACUUUGUAAAAUACCAUCCUCCUUUUGAUAUUGUCAUUGAUGGGCUCAAUGUUGCCAAAAUGUUUCCUAAAGCUCGUGAAUCUCAAGUUCUCUUAGAUGUGGUCUCUCAACUAGCCAAGCAGAAUCUUCAAGUGCUGGUCCUGGGCCGGAAGCAUAUGUUAAAGCAGAAUUCCCGGUGGAGGAAGGAUGAUAUGGAAAAGGUGCAAAAGCAAGCCAGCUUUUUUUUUGCUGACAACAUGUAGGUAUUGAAGUUAUUAAGUGAGUUACACUAGGCUCCAGUCAUCUACUUGUUACCUAUUUUUUGCCAUUUUUAAAAGUGCAUGUGUGUGUACGUAUGUAUGUAUGUAUAUAUAUAUUCAGCCUCAUUCCAAAAAAAAAAAUUUAAGACAGCUUACAAAAAUACAGUUUUUACAGCAGGAUAAACUUAGAUAGAUGAGGAAAUCAGGUUAAAGGAGAAAUAAGUUAAAGCCCAAAAUGAGAUUAGUACACAGAAUGCAUGCCAUAAAUUCCUAAAUAGAUCAUUUAACAAAUAUUUUACAAAUACGAGCACCUUCUGUGUUCUUGGAGAAACAGCAGUGAACAAGACCAAGUCCCUGCCCUCUUGUGACUUAACAGUAAACAAAUAAACAGGUAAUGUAAUUCCAGGCAGUGAUUAAAGCUGUGAAGACCAUGAAGCAGAGUAAGGAGCUGGAAGGGGACUAGGUCGGGGAUAGGUCAGAGGGGAGUGGAAAAAGCCUUUGGGAGGGGGCAGAUCUGAAGGGAACGAGUGAGUCAUUUGAGAAAGGGGGAAGGGUGGUGGGAAGAAGCUACCAGGCAGAGGGAACAGCAAGUGUUGAAAAGGGCCUGAGGCAGGAAUGAGGAAGGCUGGCAGGCCAGUGUGGAUGGGCUGGGGGCAGCAAGAGGGAAGGUAGUCAGUUCUGAGGUCCGAGAAAAGGCAGGGACCACAUUGCAGAGUUCCUCGUGGGCUGUGGAUUUUAUUCUCAAUGUAAAGGGAAUGUUGCUAUGAGCUACAGCUUCCCAGGAAGCCAAAGGAACAUGGAAAACAUGGUCAGCGACAAAAUAUACAGUGUCCACAGAGUAUGAAAAAGCAGCUGAUCGGAAGGAGCACAGAUCCACAACAGCACGUAUUAACUUUCAGCAUGCGUUUAGGUUUUCACACUGUUCAUGCCGACAAAGGUUUACUUCCAACUUUGCACGGAUAAUGAGCGCACCUCAGCCCCACGUCUAGGUUUCAUUAGAUUGAAUGUUAUAACUUCAAGGUUUGUCAGUAUUCCCCAAAUCAUUUCUUCUUAAAAAGGUCAAAUGGGGGAAUUCCCUGGCAGUCCAUUGGGUAGGACUCGGCACUCACUGCCGUGGCCCAGGUUCAAUCCCUGGUCGGGGAACUAAGAAUCCUGCAGGCUGCACAGCGCGUUCCCCUCCUCCCCCGAAAAGAAAGGUCAAAUGGCAUUCAGUGCACAAAGCUGGAAGCUAACCCCUGCUUCAGAUCCCAAACCAAAUCCCAUUUUUCUUUAGCUAAGCCCUUUUAUUUAUUCAUGGGAGGGGGGUGCUUCCAUCUCUCCAGGACUAUAAGACAAUAAUAAUGCUCUUCAUGCAGUCACCUUAGGCAAUACUGGGUAAACCUUAAGAGCGCAGGCUUGGGAAUGAACCCACCCAGGUUUAAAUCAUGGCCCUGCCGCUUCCUGUCUGGGAAGGCGUUUCCCUUCUCUCUGUUUUCUUUUCUUCAUAUGCAACCCUCAUGAGGAUUAAAUGAGAAGAUAACUUGCAAAUCAUACAGCACCAAGUACAUGGCAGCUCAGAGGACGAUCCAUUCCUUCUGUAUGCCACACUGCACUCGGGGGACCACUGCAAGUUUAUCACAAAAGAUCUGAUGCGGGACCACAAGGCCUGUCUGCCUGAUGCCAAGACCCAACGCCUGUUCUUUAAGUGGCA